rnacentral:rRNA from 1 species
UACGUAGGGUGCGAGCGUUAAUCGGAAUUACUGGGCGUAAAGAGUGCGUAGGCGGUCCCGCAAGUCCGCUGUGAAAGCCCCGGGCUUAACCUGGGAAUGGCAGUGGAAACUAUGGGACUUGAAUCUGGCAGAGGGGGGUGGAAUGCCACGUGUAGCAGUGAAAUGCGUAGAGAUGUGGCGGAACACCAAUGGCGAAGGCAGCUCGCUGGGACGGUACUGACGCUGAGACGCGAAAGCGUGGGGAGCAAACAGG